ensembl:misc_RNA Y_RNA Y RNA
GCCUGCCAAGGGCAGCGGUGUUUACAGCUGCUCACCAGUCCCAGAGCUCUUUGUUCCCUCUCCACGGCUUCAUUUGACCAGCCUAAA